rnacentral:rRNA from 1 species
AUUGAACGCUGGCGGCAGGCUUAACACAUGCAAGUCGAGCGGGGGAGGUUGCUUCGGUAACUGACCUAGCGGCGGACGGGUGAGUAAUGCUUAGGAAUCUGCCUAUUAGUGGGGGACAACAUUCCGAAAGGGAUGCUAAUACCGCAUACGCCCUACGGGGGAAAGCAGGGGAUCUUCGGACCUUGCGCUAAUAGAUGAGCCUAAGUCGGAUUAGCUAGUUGGUGGGGUAAAGGCCUACCAAGGCGACGAUCUGUAGCGGGUCUGAGAGGAUGGUCCGCCACACUGGGACUGAGACACGGCCCAGACUCCUACGGGAGGCAGCAGUGGGGAAUAUUGGACAAUGGGCGGAAGCCUGAUCUAGCCAUGCCGCGUGUGUGAAGAAGGCCUUUUGGUUGUAAAGCACUUUAAGCGAGGAGGAGGCUCUUAAGGUUAAUACCCUUGAUGAGUGGACGUUACUCGCAGAAUAAGCACCGGCUAACUCUGUGCCAGCAGCCGCCGUAAUAC